AUACGGAGGAUGCGAGCGUUAUCCGGAUUUAUUGGGUUUAAAGGGUGCGUAGGCGGACGAUUAAGUCAGCUGUGAAAUGCCCGCGCUUAACGCGGGAAGUGCAGUUGAUACUGGUUGUCUGGAGUGCCGUUGCCGUGGGGGGAAUGUGUAGUGUAGCGGUGAAAUGCAUAGAUAUUACACAGAACGCCGAUUGUGAAGACACCUCACGAAGCGGUAACUGACGCUGAGGCACGAAAGCGUGGGGAUCGAACAGGAUUAGAUACCCUGGUAGUCCGCACAGUAAACGAUGAAUACUUGUUUUCGGCGAUAUAAUGUCGGAGGCAAAGCGAAAGCGAUAAGUAUUCCACCUGGGGAGUACGCCGGCAACGGUGAAACUCAAAGGAAUUGACGGGG
rnacentral:rRNA from 1 species